rnacentral:rRNA from 1 species
GAUUUCUGGCUUGAUACAUUUUGCCGGCCACGGUUUCGUGUGUUAGUGCAUUAUGUUCUGGCCAUCCUUCCAAUUGCUACUUACUUUUCUUCAUUGAUUUGUAAGUGGUAUUGGAUCUUUUACUUUGAAAAAAUUAGAGUGUUUCAAGCAGGCUUUAUGCUAUGAAUACAUUAGCAUGGAAUAAUAAUUUAGGACUUCGGUUCUAUUUUGUUGGUUUCUAGGACUGAAGUAAUGAUUGAUAGGGAUAGUUGGGGGUGCUAGUAUUCAGCGGCCAGAGGUGAAAUUCUCGGAUUCGCUGAAGACUAACUUAUGCGAAAGCAUU